rnacentral:rRNA from 1 species
GAUGAACGCUGGCGGCGUGCCUAAUACAUGCAAGUCGAGCGAACAGACGAGGAGCUUGCUCCUCUGACGUUAGCGUCGGUCAGGUGAGUAAAAUGUGGAUAACCUACCUAUAUGACUGGGAUAAAUUCGGGAAAACGGAGCUAAUACCGGAUAAUAUAUUGAACCGCAUGGUUCAAUAAUGAAAGACGGUGUUGCUGUCACUUAUAGAUGGAUCCGCGUCUCAUUAGCUAGUUGGUAAGGUAACGGCUUACCAAGGCGAGGAUGCGUAGCUGACCUGAGAGGGUGAUCGGCCACACUGGAACUGAGACACGUUCCAAACUCCAACGGGAGGCAGCAGUAGGGAAUCUUCCGCAAUGAGCGAAGGCCUAACGGAGCAACGCCGCGUAAGUGAUGAAGGUCUUCGGAUCGUAAGACUCUGUUAUUAGGGAAAAAAAAUUCUGUAAGUAACUAUGCACGUCUUGACGGUACCUAAACAGAAAGCCACGGCUAACUACGUG